AUCCUGCCGCCGAGUCCAAAAAUGGGACGAAACGCGCAUCCUGGAU
rnacentral:hammerhead_ribozyme from 1 species